rnacentral:rRNA from 1 species
CCUACGGGUGGCAGCAGUGGGGAAUAUUGCGCAAUGGGCGAAAGCCUGACGAAGCGACGCCGCGUGAGGGAUGAAGGUCUUCGGAUCGUAAACCUCUGUCAGCAGGGAAGAACGGUCACUGUGCUAAUCAGCAGUGCAUUGACGGUACCUGCAACGGAAGCACCGGCUAACUCCGUGCCAGCCGCCGCGGUAAUACGGCGGGUGCGAGCGUUAACCGGAAUGACUGGGCGUAAAGCGCUCGUAGGCGGUAUGUCAAGUCAAGGGUGAAAUCCCCGCGCUCAACGUGGGAACUGCCUUUGAAACUGGCAAAGUGGAGUGUGUGGGAGGAUAGUGGAAGUACAGGUGUAGGAGUGAAAUCCUUAGAUAUCUGGAGGAACAUCAGUGGCGAAGGCGACUAUCUGGCACAUAACUGACGCUGAGGAGCGAAAGCGUGGGUAGCAAACAGGAUUAGAUACCCUUGUAGUC